rnacentral:lncRNA from 1 species
GGGGAGAGAUGUCGGUUAGCCUGCAGCUGCGGCCCCUUCGCUCUGAAGAGGCGGAAUCUUUUCUUUUGAUUUUUGAGUUUAUGUAUGUAGCCUCUCUUAAGUGCGGGACCCGCGUUAUCAAAGCAAAAGGCACCACGCGUCCACGCCUCAAUGGCAGUGCCUGUUCCCCCCGGAGGCUAAUUGUUACUACAUACAGACGACGGGUCCGCCUAAGUAGUAUCUUACGGUCAGUCUGUGAAAUUUCAUCUAGCCCCAUAUAUUUUAUAUUAUUUAUAUUUUAUUUAUAAAUAUUAUAAAUAUUUUGAAAUAUAAAAUUUUAUUUAAUUCUUUAUACUCAAUUUAAUAGUAAAUAAAGCAUAUAAGGUUAGAUGAAAUUUGACAGGAAGACAGUAACUUACAUUCAAUAUAACUUAGGCGGAUUCCGUACAGUAUAUUAAAAAAUAUCAUCUCUUCCUCUUUUUAGAUGACGAAGGUCAAAUUUGUGUGGGAGUUAAGAGUUUUGGUCAAACUUACUGAUAGACUGGGGUGUAAAGACAGAAGAGCUCCAUACUUGAGACGUGUGCCAUUUGGUGGUGCGGUGUUCACAAGUUUGGAUUUGUCGACAAAGGUCGUCCGUGGGAAUUAGAAUUUUGGAUCGACAGAGACCAAAAUGAAGUCGUAUAUAUAUAUAUACUUUUUUUAAAUAUAAAAUUCACAUAGAAAUAGGUUAAAUUUUAGAUAAAAUUCUAAUUCUUUUUUUUUUAUAAAAAAAAUCCCAACUUGAGGAUCUAGGUCUUGCUAUCCCUGCUAGCUAAGAUGGACACAGCAGGGACAAGGUGAAUUGUAUUUUUCAAAAGUCAAUCAAUCCCUAUAUUUUGAAGCAAUGAAUGGGGGGCUAAAUUAGGGUAAAGUCUUUUUGCACUUUUUUUUUUUUUUUUGGUAUCUUGUGAGAAUUAUUUCACUCAUAUCUACUGAGGGCAUGCAGGAAGACGGUCAAGUUUUGCUGCCGUGGCUUUUGUCAACUGUCAAAUUUCAAUUUGAACAUUAGGGAAUAUCAUUAUGCUUCGUUUUGAAUCAAAACUCUUUUGCCAUAUCAAACAAACUUUGGGUCCUUUACCAAAUGCAUGUUUUUGUAUGAAAUGAUUUGAAAUGCCCCGAAAUGAAAAUGCUUUUCCAAAUUAUCUUUCUCUUUUGGGAUUGUUUCUCACCAAAUACGUUUCAUCGUCUUCACGGCUUUAGAAAUAAAUAUUGCAUUCUCGAUUAAAAUUCAGAACAGCAGCAAUGAAUGAAAAACGUUUUCGAGUUUAUCAAUGACAGAAACAUUUGAAGCCACGUUUUUUAUGAGUUCUUUUUUUUUUUUC